CGCCUCGAAUGAUUGGAAAGACGUACAACCUUCAGCUGCCUGUAACUACAAAAGAUUAACAAACAAAAAAAACAUAGGGCCGUGGGAGAGGAGGAGGAGAUCAGGCGUUUGGCCUCUGACGCAGGAAACACACCAGCACCUCGGCAGAAGAAGUGGCAUGAUCUACAUCUGAAGCCUUCCAGUUCGCUCCUUGUCUCAGUGCAUCCAGGAACCUCAUGUACAGUGGCACCGCAGCCAAGCAGCCAGGGCCUUCACCUGGUGAGACGCUACAGCCAGGACUCUACCUGCAGGUUCACCACCACCAAAGGAUGUCUCCUUAGCUGGUGGUGAACCUUGGCAUCAACCUCUGAUGUAUCCAGCCCCAUCACAAGCCCCACAAAAAGAAAAGUGUCACCACCUGGACGCACACUGUUUCUCCUGUGUCUCUUCCUCCUUCUCCUGUUCCUGUAUCAAGCUUCUUCCAUUCUGCCUCCACUGCUACAGCUGAACCCCCUCUGCUCCUCUCACCUUGCCAUUGCCUAAAAAUGUGGGGAUCGUACCUGUUUCAGAUGCUGCCUGGCUGCCCACAAAGCUGCUAAAGACAUUUCAGCAGCCCUGUGGAAAGACCAGCGUCUUUUCAAAGACCUGAAACUGUGGUAUGAUCCA